AUUGGCCAUUGGAAAAUCGCCCACGUCAAACGAAAGAUGGCUACCGUGCACGUGCGGUGUCUUCGAUAGAAGUGAAGAGCGUAUACCAGCCUGUUCUUCGUACUAAAAAAGGAAGGUGAAUACAAUGUCAUACAUCCUCACAUCUUCAGCAAGUCAUGGAGCCAACAAGCCUUCGUGUGUGAGCAUGCAUAGUCCAAGACCUCAUGAGAUACUUCCCACCAGUGAUUCAUCAACAAGUGGUCAUGUUCACCUCUGCAUGCAACGCCAGUGUGUUCAAACAUUUUUGCUGUAUGAAGUUUUCCUGUGUGUACUCUGACAAGGCUCUUCACCUGACAGGAGUCCAGCAAAACACAAACUUGCUACAGAAUGCGCUACCAUGGAUUAUUAUGUUAGUGACAAUGCUUGUGACAUCUGUAAGCUUCAAGGACUUGACCAUUUCCUUCAGUGUUUUUGGCUCCAUCCACAACCACACAUGUCGUGAACAUGUCAAAUGAGGAACAGACUUGGCUGUGAUUCAUUUUGAUCGAUGGACCAGAUGGAGUAUGCAGUGUAAGAGACUGAUGAAAACCCAGAGGGUCAACCAUGGACUGCCUUGUUCAAGAGACUGCUGGAAUCAAGUACUCCCCAAUCACCGACUCAGUUCUGUCAUCUCAUCAGGCUCUGCUGCCUUCAUCAUGUGGAAGUUUGCUGAUACAUCACUCAAAACAUUGCACAGGACAAGAGAUACUGACUAUGGUGGAUGGUAUAGACUGUCUGACUCAUCCAGCCAUGAAUGACUGUAACUGCUUAGUUGUGUUCCUGAUUCAUUUUGAACUCUGUGGAUAUGCAUCUUGUCUGAACGUUUUACAGACUGAACCAUACAUGUACAUGUGCACUCCAAGAAGCUACAAGCUAAUCCUGCAAGAAGUGUGCUCCUACAUCUCCCGAUGCUCUCCAAAUGUUGGAUUGUGUUCCAGAGUGUUGCUGCUCUGUCCUUUAUUGCCAAGAACUUUUACGGCUAAAGGACUUGCUACAGAGACAGCCAUCAACUAAGGAAAACUGAGUUUAGAAAAUUGGGUUGGGAUGUAACACAGUGGCAUAGCUUCACCUUUUUUCAGCGCAAGUAAAGAUUUUUGCUUGCAGAACAUAAUACAUGUAUUCAUUUACCCAUCUCAAAGAUGGCAAAAAAGUUCCUGUUUAUCUUGAAGUUUAAAAAAGUACACACAAGAGCUGAUACUAAUAAGGUGCUGGCUUGCAAUCAAAUUGCAUUUGUGAUUUGAGCUUAAAUUCCAGAAUCAAACAUCUUUGAUUGUCCCUCAAGUUGCCUUCUUGACAUUCCAUGGGCACCUUCAAAGCUAUGCCACUGAAACAGACAGAUACAUGGGUCGAGGGAUGGGACUUUGGGUUCAUAUAUCUUAAUUGCUAUACAAAGUCCAAUUUGAUUGCUUAGCUCUGAAAGAUUGGGGCAUUAUUUUUAUAAUCAAAGUGGUUUGAAAAAGUGUGACUUUAAAGUCAACCAUCUGCACACUCUGACAAAAAUUGCAUCCCUAUGAAGUUAUGGGCACUGUACCAUUUUUUAGCACAGUUUACAAUAACUGAAGAAAUACAAAAUAAAUUUGUACUUUUCUCUUCAAGGACCUUUAUUAUACUAAGCAUAAUUAUAUGAUCCCACCUCUCAUUGCGCAAAAUGGACUUUGUACAUGUAUUUGAAGAGUUCAUUUCCAAGAUGUGAUUUACGCCAUUUUAUUCUCUUUUAGAAUCCUGCUCUCUUCUGGCUGCUGAAAAGCAAUUUUGUUGGCUGUUAUAUUCUUAAACACAACUAGAAAUCAAUAAGUCAAAAAAUGAAGUUUAAAAAGAGCUGCUAUAUUAUUUUUAUUCUUUGAAGUUCAAAACCGUUCAAAUUUUCACUUUUUUUUAAAUGUAUAUGUCACGUUUUGGAAAUGAACUCUUCAUUUGUAACCAGUCCUCACAGUCUAUGAAAAUUGGAGCAAAAGAAAGAAAGAAAAAACAAAGAACUUUGUCCUGAAGGAUGUAUCAUAAAGAACAAGCUAGGUAUCUGAAAAAUUUGACACUUUGUCUGAAAUCAAACUUUUGAAACUGUGAGAACAUUGUAUAAAUGUGCGUGGAAAGACAUGAGAGCAUUGAAUGUACGUGAAGUACAGAAACAUCCAUUGGGUGUAAUUUGCAGACGUGCCACUCCUGAUCCUUGUGUACAAAAAACUGGAUAUAUUUCCAGCUUGAAAUACAGCUUGAAACAGUUGACUUCCACAUGAUCUGAAUGAAUUCACACUUGUUUUUGUCCAUUUGACCUAAAGCACACUUUAAAAAAUUAAAUAUCAUUGAUGAGUGAUGUGAGGGCUGGUUACACCAAUAAUUUAAUUUUUAUUACAAUAUUCAAUGCCUGAAUGGUAAAUGUUUUCAAGCCAGGUGCAUGAUGGGUAAAUGAUGUCACUCCACUGUGAAUACAGUUAAAGCAAAAUAUCGUCCCAUGGAAAGUCGCUUGAAAUUUAACAUGUUGCGCGGGCUUUUUUUCGGACAUAUGCAAUCCAUCUCAUAAUGAACCAAGCAUUCAAAUCAUCAAGUUCAGUAACUGAAAAUUGUCAAAUUUGCGUUAUGUUCGACCAAUAAAUAUCAAUUUGUCAAUGCUAUUGCCAUUCAGUUUAAGACAUUCGUCUUGGUCAGUGCAAAAUAUAUGCAAUCAUUUUGAUAGGCGUUGAGCUCUUACUUUGCUACAUGAAUGUUCUUAUCUUCAAAUAAUAGAUUCCUAGGUUUUUACCCAUCCUCCACCUGGUUUGAACUGUAUAAUCAGCACUGAUGUUAAGAAAUGAGAGGAUUUGAAGGAUAGAAUGUAAGAUGGCUAUUGCAGACAUUUAGGCUGAUCACAUUUAGCGACCGAUCAUUUCCAUCAGAUCAUUCAGCGUGUGCAAAACAAGCAUGGCUAUAAAUAUAUUUAUCACAAGCUGCUACAUGUAGUUUUAAAAACACAAGCUGCUACAUGGAGUUUUAAAAACACAAGCUGCAACAUGGAACUUUGAAAACUGGCUCUUUCUCUUUGACACAUUGAUGAGUUCACAAAUUCUGCAAAUUUUGGUGAUUUUGCAGACUUGAAGCUUUGCCUAAUUCAAAAAUGGCGUUUAAAAAAAAUACAGCGUGUGCAACUUCUGGUCAUAGUAAGCGCAAGCACAGUUGUAUCUCAGUGCUGAUUAUACAUAUACUUGCAAAAUUUAUUUUGGAAAAAUAGUUAAAAAAUUUUUGCAUUGUUGUCUUUUACCAUCAGGCACUGUGAAUAAAAACCAAUAAGCCCAGCCACAUGCAGGCCCUCCUGGUGCGUGCACGUGUGUCCCCUGCCCGCAGACGCUGACAGGUUGGUGGUUGCCCGCUAUCUGCAUCGGCUUGUGAAUUGACUGUUGGUGAUGUAUGCAACUCCCUCGAAAUCUUGCACCCUGGGUGAUUGUGGAUACCUCGGAAGACUGCAACAUGGUAAGGAUCCUUUAAACUUUGGCAAUUGGUUAGUUUGUCUACAAAGCAGAUGUACAUGUCCACUACUCCAGGAAUGGCAACUCAAGAGAACACUUCUGUGCCUAACUCCGCCAUUGCUCACUUGAAACAUGUCAAGAGUUCUCAGCCAUCAUUGCCAGUGAUCCGAAAAAAUAAUGAAAUAUUCAGCAUCAGUUACUUGUUGUGGGCUUUCUAGGAUAUUUGACAGUGUCGUAUGAUGUUUGAACAAUUGUUUGGCCACAAUUUUCUUGGUAAUUUCCACAGUAUAACUCUGAAAUUCUAGUUUUGCAUUUGCUCAUUUCACCUCAAAGGGAGGUGUUUUCACCAAAUGAAGUCAUUUAAUAAGAUGGUGCAAGCUUCUUCAAAAAUUACAAUCGCGUCUGAAUUGUUAUAUUCAGGGUUUUGGUAGCAUACACACAUUCUAAAUUUGUCGUAUUUGGAACUUUUUAACAGUCGAAAUUUACAGUUAGUGAAUUGCAAACAAUUAAAUUUGAAGUUCACAGUAGUUGACACCAAAAAAAAUAUUGAAUUAACAAAAUCGCAUCCUGGUUUUUGAGAGAACAAAAAAUUCUAAAUAUGACUGAAUUUCUAUAAUGAAAAAAUAAGAAAGUCUAAAGAUACUUCUGGACAUUUCUGUGAAACAAAAUUCAAAUUUUUAAGUGUCAUCAUCUUUAUGCGUACAUGUAGGUUUUUUUGCAUCAAAAUCAAAAGAUAUUUGUAAAAAAGUAAACCAAAAACUGGUAGCCAUACUCUUCAAAACUGUAGUAGAGAAAUGCCUGGUGUGCAGAGAGGGAGAACCAUGCUGUUAGAUUGCUGGGUGGAUGAUGUAUCCAGGCCAUUCACUCACAUCAUAGAGGGGCAAAAAACACUCGCUCUGAAUUUGUCCAAAGAAGGGAGAAAACAAAACAUGUCUGGGAGAAACUACCUUAAAUAUGAUGGAAAGUAUACUGUGCAAAACUGGAGUCAAGUCUGCCAGAGAUUCACUUAAUAAGGGAGAUUUUCAUUUCUCAUUCCCAAGGGAAAUAUGGUUGCAAACAACCAGACGUUUGUUUCUACGUUGUGAAAUUCUUUGAAAGUACAUGUAAGUAUCCUUGCUAGCAAGGAUGAAAAACUCACUUGACGGACUCCACAAUUAAAAAAAAUAAGAAUUGGCGCUUGCAGAAUGAGCUAAAUUCCAUCCAGAAAUUGUGUAGAUAUUUCUCCCAUUCAUCAACUCCCCAAAAGAAGAAACCUUAUAGCGGCAAAUUAAACAUGGGACAAAUAGAAAGUGGGUGUGAACCCCUCGAUCAAUUGGAGUGAAUGGCCUGGGAGAUUGGGUACCAAUCUGCCUCUCAGUAUCCUAAACAGAAACUGUGACAUCAGACACGGGGAGCCAGUCCUGUCAACAACUUCCAUGGUAAGUUUAAUUGAAGUUUGUAGAAUGAAUUCAUGCACUGGUACAUCCUCAUGUGUUGCUUGUUAAACCCAAAUGUGUAUCUCAUGGCUUAGGAGUAUGGUGUAGUCUGCAUUAAACAAGGCAGUAAUGUACAGAUGGUCUUCAGUCUAUGGCAAUACACAGUGGCGUAGCUAAUGGCCACGGGGGAGGGAGGGGACCAGACUAUCAGUAAUUGGUUGAUGUGCUAGUUGAUCAACCACAAUAGGAGACAGGCAGUCAGUGGUCCACUAAAUCCACACGUCAGUCAACCAAUCCUGCCAAAGCUGCAUGAGCAUGUGGAAAUAUUAAACAUAACAGUUGUUCACACAACUCUCAAAUGCUGAAAGCAUUAACAAAAAAAGUCACUUGAGUUUGCUAUACUUUGCGGG
rnacentral:lncRNA from 1 species